rnacentral:rRNA from 1 species
UACGUAGGGUGCGAGCGUUGUCCGGAAUUAUUGGGCGUAAAGAGCUCGUAGGCGGUCUGUCGCGUCUGCUGUGAAAUCCCGAGGCUCAACCUCGGGCCUGCAGUGGGUACGGGCAGACUAGAGUGCGGUAGGGGAGAUUGGAAUUCCUGGUGUAGCGGUGGAAUGCGCAGAUAUCAGGAGGAACACCGGUGGCGAAGGCGGGUCUCUGGGCAGUAACUGACGCUGAGGAGCGAAAGCGUGGGGAGCGAACAGG